rnacentral:tRNA from 1 species
GUCUUCAUGGUGUAGUGGUCAACACACUCGGCGCGUAUUCGAGAGGUCCGUGGUUCGAGUCCCGGCGAGGUUA